rnacentral:rRNA from 1 species
AGAUAAUAGAUACCCGGGUAGUCCACGCUGUAAACGAUGGGUACUAGAUUUGGUGGGUCUUGACCCCCGCCGAAAUCGGCGCUAAACGCACUAAGUACCCCGCCCGGGAAGUACGGUCGCAAGACUAAAACUCAAAGGAAUUGACGGGGGCCCGCACAAGCGGUGGAUCAUGUGGUUUAAUUCGAAGCAAACGCGAAGAACCUUACCUGGAUUUGACAUCCUCUGACAACCCUAGAGAUAGGGCUUUCGUAGCAAUACGACAGAGAGACAGGUGCUGCAUGGCUGUCGUCAGCUCGUGUGGUGACAUGUUGGGUUAAGUCCCGCAACGAGCGCAACCCUUGUCCUUAGUUGCCAGCAUUAAGUUGGGCUCUCUAAGGAGACUGCCGUGGUUAACACGGAGGAAGGUGGGGAUGACGUCAAGUCCUCAUGGCCUUUAUAUCCAGGGCGACACACGUGAUACAAUGGAUGGUACAGAGGGAAGCGAAAGCGCGAGCUGGAGCCAAUCUCAAAAAACGCCAUUCUCAGUUCGGAUUGGAGUCUGC